rnacentral:antisense_RNA from 1 species
GAUAGCCGUAGAUGGUGAAUGGGUUGAGGGUGGGAUUAGUGACUACUCGAACAGCGUGAAUUGUUGAAUCGUAAAGCCCGCCCCAAAACAUAGCUUUCGCGACAAGCAAUAAGGCACCUACUCCUAAGAAAAGGAGGUGAUGUCCUAAGAUAAAGCUAAGUUUUUUUGGCUCGUCCCA